AUGUUUUCAAGCUUCAACUUUUAGAAGUCCAUGGAUUCUCUUUUAUUGAAGUUUUUUUACACCCUUUAGCUCUUCAACUUUCAAUUUAAGGUUUUAGCACAUAAUCGGAAACAAUCUUUCUACCUCUCAAGAUAAGGGUAUUUAUGCAAGGAUGCAAAAAUGAUGUUUAAAGAAUUCUCAUUUUAGAGAAGAUAGUGAGAGGUUUGAAAUUCACAAUUUAAUAGUGGCAAUUGAGUUAGGAAGAUCUACUUUCAGUAAGUGUAACAUUGACUUUGAUUCACCCUCGGCUCUAGCCAGUCUCCAGCACAUCAUAAUUCAGGGACCCAUGGGGGAUACUACUAUCCGUGCAUUUGUUGUGGCGCAUGACACGACCCUCAAAAUGAAGUAUUCAUUGCGGCACGCGAUACGGUCCUCAAAAUACAAUAUUCAUCGCAACGCAUGAUACAUUCCUCGAAACGCAAACGUGCCGUCGUCUUCAACUUCAACCGCAACUCUACCCAGUCUUCAUUA